rnacentral:rRNA from 1 species
ACACCGGCCGCUCGAGUGGUAGCUGUUUUUAUUGGGCCUAAAGCGUUCGUAGCCGGUUUGAUAAGUCUUUGGUGAAAGCUUGUAGCUUAACUAUAAGAAUUGCUGGAGAUACUAUCAGACUUGAAGUCGGGAGAGGUUAGAGGUACUACCGGGGUAGGGGUGAAAUCCUAUAAUCCUGGGAGGACCACCUGUGGCGAAGGCGUCUAACUGGAACGAUCUUGACGGUGAGUAACGAAAGCCAGGGGCGCGAACCGGAUUAGAUACCCGGGUAGUCCUGGCCGUAAACGAUGUGGACUUGGUGUUGGAAUGGCUUUGAGUUGUUCCGGUGCCGAAGGGAAGCUGUUAAGUCCACCGCCUGGGAAGUACGGUCGCAAGACUGAAACUUAAAUGAAUUGGCGGGG